rnacentral:rRNA from 1 species
GCCUGCCCAGUGAUANAUUUAAACGGCCGCGGGAUCCUCCACCGUGCAAAGGUAGCAUAAUCACUUGUCCCCUAAAUAGUGACUAGUAUGAACGGCCAAAUGAAGAUUUUACUGUCUCUUAUAGCCAAUCUAUGAAACUAAGCUAUCAGUACAAAAGCUGAUAUAUUAACAUAAGACGAAAAGACCCUGUGGAACUUCNNAAGCACAACCCACAAUANNAUNGGACCACCUGCUUUUAGUUGGGGCAACUUUGGAAAAAAAUAAAACUUCCAAUAAAAAUUAAAGAUUAACACAUCUAUAUAGUAUAUAUACCCGACCCAACACUUGUUGAUCAAAGAACCAAGCUACCCCAGGGAUAACAGCGCCAUCCCCUCUUAGAGCCCAAAUCGACGAGCGGGGUUUACGACCUCGAUGUUGGAUCAGGGCCCCCAAACAGUGCAACAGCUGUUAAUGGUUUGUUUGUUCAACAAUUAAAGCCCUACGUGAUCUG